GAGGAACGAACAAAUUACACUGUUUCUCUGAAUUGACCAGUAGAGGACUGGAUGCUGCAGAGCACAAGGGUCUUUUGGCUUCUCCCCUUGUGUUUGCCCACAGAAGCCUGAUGGCAACACAAUUUCCUAGGAGUGGACACCUCUUGGUUGUUCAAGUUCUAAUACUGACUUAUGGUGUAGAAACUGGAGAAAAGCAACAGUACCCCGUGACUGAAAAGCCUGAUUAUCUGUAAACUAACAGUCAUCACAAUAAAACAAGCAUCAACAAAACUGGAUAAUGGAUAAGACAUUAAACCCACAGGAAAGAAAAUGAGUAUUUAAAUUGAGGAGACAUCAAAAAUCUGAAUAUAGAGAUGUUUAGCAUCAAGUCUACAACAAGAUGAGACAAGAAGGAAUUCAUCAACAGAGGUUCGCUCUGAGUGGAAUGGCACAGUAAAAAAGACAAGGAGAACUGACUUCAACCUAAGUUGUUCUUUGAAGAAAGGAAAUUGUCAAAAUUAGCAACUGUCUCCUUCAUGAUUUACUGCAGUGUCAUCAAGGCAACAGAAAAAUGUGUUAGAAUAAAACAUCAAAGAAAUGCUGUAAAGAGUAUAAGGCUGAGGGCCUAACUGCAAGUAUGAAUAAGACGACUGAUGAACAUCCAUAUUCAGUCCCAUGUUAUUGAGAAUUACUUCUAGAGUGCCCCUACUCCAUUAGCCAAAAAGGGAAGAAGUAAAAAGGACCACAACCAUGUUCCAGAUGCCUGAAGAAAAAAGUUAACAUCAUGUGACCUGGUAUGCCUUGGGUAGCCCCCCUGAAAAUGCUAAGGUCAAAAAGGAGAACAGAUUCUCCCCAAACUGGUGGCUAACACUGAAGUUAGACUCACCAACCAGUCACAAACCGUGCUUCUGGUCCCCCACAAUGGUUAUCAAGAAGCUAAAAAAGAAAUCUCACAACACCCUUUAUUGCAUUCCAGUUCCCUGGCUCCCAAUCAGCACAUAGGUCCAGUAGAGUGAGAAGUUAUUUAAAAACUCUGUUCACUAUACAAAAUGUUCUUCUGAGCCAAAGGGCCAGCCACAUUACCAGGUCAAUAUUAGUUUUGAUCUGACCCAGAAUACAACGCUGACAGCCCAUCCUUUAGUGUCUAAAACGAAAGGC